rnacentral:sRNA from 1 species
CUAACCAAGCUUCUUCUUGCUUCUCAAAGCUUUGAUGGUCUAGCCGUAGUCGGUUGAGUCUUUGGCUUUGUAUCUUCUAACAAGGAUACAAUACUUAGGCUUUUAAGAUCUGGUUGCAAUUCUAGUUGUUAUACUCACUCAUACACAUGACAUCUAGUCAUAG